rnacentral:rRNA from 1 species
GAUGAACGCUGGCGGUCUGCUUAACACAUGCAAGUCGAACGAACUCUUCGGAGUGAGUGGCGGACGGGUGAGUAACGCGUGAGAAUCUGCCUGUGGGUCGGGGACAACCACUGGAAACGGUGGCUAAUACCGGAUGAGCCGAAAGGUAAAAGAUUUAUUGCCCACAGAUGAGCUCGCGUCUGAUUAGCUAGUUGGUAAGGUAAAAGCGUACCAAGGCGACGAUCAGUAGCUGGUCUGAGAGGAUGAGCAGCCACACUGGGACUGAGACACGGCCCAGACUCCUACGGGAGGCAGCAGUGGGAAUUUUCCGCAAUGGGCGAAAGCCUGACGGAGCAAGACCGCGUGGGGGAGGAAGGUUUUUGGAUCGUAAACCCUUUGUCAAGGAAGAAGCUCUGACGGUACUUGACGAAUAAGCCUCGGCUAACUCCGUGCCAGCCGCCGCGGUAAUUC